AACGCACAUUGCGCCCCUUGGUAUUCCAUUGGGCAUGCCUGUUCGAGCGUCAUUUACACCCUCAAGCUCUGCUUGGUGUUGGGCGUCUGUCUAUGCUUUUCGCUUAGACUCGCCUUAAUUGCAUUGGCAGCGGCAUCGUCGGCUUCUCGCGCAGCACUUUGCGCUCAGGAAGGCAUCUGACGGGCUCGCAUCCACUAAGAAUCACUUAGUUUGACCUCGAAUCAGGUAGGGAUACCCGCUGAACUUAA
rnacentral:misc_RNA from 1 species